rnacentral:rRNA from 1 species
AGGGGAAACGGCAUUAAGUGCUUGCACUUUUUGGACGUCGACCGGCGCACGGGUGAGUAACGCGUAUCCAACCUCCCCAUGACUAAGGGAUAACCUGCCGAAAGGCAGACUAAUACCUUAUGGUCUUCACCGACGGCAUCAGAUGUGAAGUAAAGAUUUAUCGGUUAUGGAUGGGGAUGCGUCUGAUUGGCUUGUUGGCGGGGUGACGGCCCACCAAGGCAGCGACUCAGUAGGGGUUCUGAGAGGAAGGUCCCCCACAUUGGAACUGAGACACGGUCCAAACUCCUACGGGAGGCAGCAGUGAGGAAUAUUGGUCAAUGGGCGAGAGCCUGAACCAGCCAAGUAGCGUGCAGGAUGACGGCCCUAUGGGUUGUAAACUGCUUUUGUAUGGGGAUAAAGUCAAUCACGUGUGAUUGUUUGCAGGUACCAUACGAAUAAGGACCGGCUAAUUCCGUGCCAGCAGCCGCGGUAAUACGGAAGGUCCGGGCGUUAUCCGGAUUUAUUGGGUUUAAAGGGAGCGUAGGCUGGAGAUUAAGUGUGUUGUGAAAUGUAGACGCUCAACGUCUGACUUGCAGCGCAUACUGGUUUCCUUGAGUACGCACAACGUUGGCGGAAUUCGUCGUGUAGCGGUGAAAUGCUUAGAUAUGACGAAGAACUCCGAUUGCGAAGGCAGCUGACGGGAGCGCAACUGACGCUGAAGCUCGAAGGUGCGGGUAUCGAACAGGAUUAGAUACCCUGGUAGUCCGCACAGUAAACGAUGGAUGCCCGCUGUUGGUACGUGGUAUCAGCGGCUAAG